ACGCUCGACACCUACGAGAGGCAGCAGUGAGGAAUAUUGGUCAAUGGGCGCUAGCCUGAACCAGCCAAGUAGCGUGAAGGAUGAAGGCUCUAUGGGUCGUAAACUUCUUUUAUAUAAGAAUAAAGUGCAGUAUGUAUACUGUUUUGUAUGUAUUAUAUGAAUAAGGAUCGGCUAACUCCGUGUCAGCAGCCGCGGUAAUCUGAGCGGGCUGGCAAGGC
rnacentral:rRNA from 1 species